rnacentral:rRNA from 1 species
GAUGAACGCUGGCGGCGUGCCUAAUACAUGCCAGUCGAGCGAACAGACGAGGAGCUUGCUCCCCUGACGUUAGCGGCGGACGGGUGAGUAACACGUGGAUAACCUACCUAUAAGACUGGGAUAACUUCGGGAAACCGGAGCUAAUACCGGAUAAUAUAUUCAACCGCAUGGUUCAAUAGUGAAAGACGGUUUUGCUGUCACUUAUAGAUGAAUCCGCGCCGCAUUAGCUAGUUGGUAAGGUAACGGCUUACCAAGGCAACGAUGCGUAGCCGACCUGAGAGGGUGAUCAGCCACACUGGAACUGAGACACGGUCCAGACUCCUACGGGAGGCAGCAGUAGGGAAUCUUCCGCAAUGGGCGAAAGCCUGAUGCAGCCACGCCGCGUGAGUGAUGAAGGUCUUCGGGUCGUAAAGCUCUGUUAUUAGGGAAGAACAAAUGUGUAAGAAACUAUGCACGUCUUGACGGUACCUAAACAGAAAGCCACGGCUAACUACGUG